rnacentral:rRNA from 1 species
GACGAACGCUGGCGGCGCGCCUAACACAUGCAAGUCGAACGAGCGAGCGAGAGCUUGCUUUCUCAAGCGAGUGGCGAACGGGUGAGUAACGCGUGAGGAACCUGCCUCAAAGAGGGGGACAACAGUUGGAAACGACUGCUAAUACCGCAUAAGCCCACAGGUCGGCAUCGACCAGAGGGAAAAGGAGUAAUGCGCUUGGGGAUGGCCUCGCGUCCGAUUAGCUGGGUGGGGAGGUAACGGCCCACCAAGGCAACGAGCGGGAGCCGGCACGAGAGGGUGACCGGCCACAGUGGGACUGGGAUACGGCCCAGACUGCUACGGGAGGCAGCAGUGGGGAAUGUUGCACGAUGGGCGGAAGUCUGAUGCAGCAACGCCGCGUGCGGGAUGACGGCCUUCGGGUUGUAAACCGCUUUCGCCUGUGACGAAGCGUGAGUGACGGUAAUGGGUAAAGAAGCACCGGCUAACUACGUG